AGUGAACGCUGGCGGCAGGCCUAACACAUGCAAGUCGAGCGGCAGCGCGGGGGCAACCCUGGCGGCGAGCGGCGGACGGGUGAGGAAUUCGUCGGAAUCUGCCUUUUUGUGGGGGAUAACGUAGGGAAACUUACGCUAAUACCGCAUACGUCCUACGGGAGAAAGUGGGUGACCGCAAGGCCUCACGCAGACAGAUGAGCCGACGACAGAUUAGCUAGUUGGUGGGGUAAAGGCCCACCAAGGCGACGAUCGGUAGCUGGUCUGAGAGGAUGAUCAGCCACACUGGGACUGAGACACGGCCCAGACUCCUACGGGAGGCAGCAGUGGGGAAUAUUGGACAAUGGGCGCAAGCCUGAUCCAGCCAUGCCGCGUGUGUGAAGAAGGCCUUCGGGUUGUAAAGCACUUUUGUCCGGAAAGAAAUCCCUGGAGCUAAUACCUUCGGGGGAUGACGGUACCGGAAGAAUAAGCACCGGCUAACUUCGUG
rnacentral:rRNA from 1 species